GAAAGAAGGAAAGAAAGAAAAAGAGAGAAGGGAGAAAGAAAGGGGAAAAAGAGAAAGUGCCUACUGUCACUUUAACAAGGCAGAGGGCCAGGCUUUAACAAGAUGGCGUUCACCAGCCUCUGACCUGGAGAAGAUCCCCGCAGGCUCCAGCACCCCAGACUGAUGCUUUCAAAUUAGAAACUAGAAAUUAGAAAUUAGAAAGAGUCUCUUUCACACAAAUUCUUGGUGCUUUUCAAAGGGCUGCCUCUUUACCAAACCCUGGGACAGGUUGGUCUGCAAACGUGCUGCCGAGUUUUGAUCAUCGCGUCUCUCAGCCUUGGCCAGGUGCAAUUCCACCCGGACACUUUUCGUUAGUUUUUUAGAGAUUACUCAAAGAUAAAACAGUGCCUGGUACUUCCUCUUAUUCUUGUGAGUGGUGGUCUUCGCAGAUAACUGGAUACUGGAACAUCUCUCUGCUGGAAGCCCACUUAUGCGUACCUUCAAACACAAGUCACAGUGCUCUUCAAAGUUAAAAGCCCAAGAGGAUUUCCCAACAAAAAUAAAAGGAAAGCUUUCGAGCUGGCCUUGGAUGAGGAAGCAACUUCUACAGCUGCAAAGUUGUCGCGUGGGGGAAGGAAGCAGAUAACGUGCUGGAGAAAUUAACAACAGAGGGGGCACCACUUGUUUUAAGGUUGGAAUCUCCUCCUGAAUCUUAUAUUCCCCAGUUAACUAUAAUCUGACUAAAAUUUCUGUCCAAAAUAUAAAGGAACAACCUAAUUAAGAAAAUGUGAGUAUUUAAAUAUUAGCUUGUGGCUGCUCUGGUAAAUGAAAACUCAAAAAUGACUCAAAAAGGAAGUGCAUUCUUACUUCACCGUCACACCCUUAUUUGAAAUAAAUCACAUUUCCUCACUUGA